UUGUAGGUCAUUAUCAGGAAACCGG
rnacentral:piRNA from 1 species